rnacentral:rRNA from 1 species
UACGAAGGGUGCUAGCGUUGUUCGGAAUUACUGGGCGUAAAGCGCGCGUAGGCGGCGAUACAAGUCAGGGGUGAAAUCCCACAGCUCAACUGUGGAAUUGCCUUUGAAACUGCAUUGCUUGAGUGUCGGAGGGGAUAGCGGAAUUGCUAAUGUAGAGGUGAAAUUCGUAGAUAUUAGCAGGAACACCGGUGGCGAAGGCGGCUAUCUGGACGACAACUGACGCUGAGGCGCGAAAGCGUGGGGAUCAAACAGG